GGGGUGGGAACCAUGCCAGAAGAAAGCGUCGGAAUUGUUCCGGCAGCCAUUGCUCUCCCCCCAUUCCCCACCCCUUCAGCUAGCUCUGGGUAGUCCUGGUGAUGUGAAUACCUGAGCUGUAGCUAAUAUUGCUCCAACCACUUCAUUUGCAGACCACUUUGGAUUCCCCGGCAUACUAGAGAAGAGAUAGAACUAAGAGACUAAUAACUGCUCACAUUUAUAUAAACAAUUUCCAAAGCCCUUUCAAUCCAUUAUCUCCCAGCUCCUCACUGCCAGCCGGGGAGCCUCCUGGGUGAUAAGUGAGAGAAGCCAGCUAUCGCUAUCUCCAAAGUUCCGCAGCAUGUCACUGUUGACUCAUACCUGGCCCAUUUCCUCUGGACUUCUGACCAACAACAUCUAGGAAAUCACCCUAUCCAGUCUAAGAAGCCAAGGCCUGAGAAACAUGGCUGUUCUGCCUAAUCAAAAGGAAGAGAAAACUUCCUCUAUGGCCAUUUCCACUUGAAGCAACAGGGAGCCACCAUGUACGGUGCAGCAGGUCACAACCCUACUUGUUGGAAAGUCUCUCCAUCCAUUAGAGGAGUCUUCAUACUUGGGCCUGAAGGUAAUUCAAAUGAUUAACCAAUAUAUUUUGGAUUAAUUGCUGCUCAUCUCCUUGAAGGCAAGGGUUAUUUCCCUUGUAUUAAGGGCUUAUCAAAUUUUUGCUGAAUUGAACUGAAAUUUGUGUUAAGUGAGAAAUCAGUGUCUGUUUCAGAGGAUGCAUACAUGUGGUAAAGUCCCGAGGGUGGGGGCUACUGAGUUAAGAGAGUGAGAACAUC
rnacentral:lncRNA from 1 species